rnacentral:lncRNA from 1 species
UCGCAUCUUCUCAUCCACCGGGGCCACCCCCACCUUCUGUCGAAUAACUUCAUUCUUAAUCUAAUCUAACCUGGUGCGCCCGAACAUCCACCCGAGCAUCCUCAUCUCCGCAACCUUCAUUCUUUGAACAUGAGAGUUCUUCACGGGCCAGCACUUCGCCCCGUACAACAUUGCAGGUCUAACCACAGCUCUAUAAAAUUUUCCCUUGAGUUUAUGUGGAACUUU